rnacentral:sRNA from 1 species
UCCUAAGGUGUGAAUAAGCAGCUCAAGGUUGAGCUUUUUGAAUCUUAGAUUCCUUACAGUUCAGAGGCCUCCACAUCUGAAAGCUGUGAGGAUCAGCUUGAGGGGAUGCUUAUGGUGUUCCUAUCACUUGCUAGGAUGUGCUCCGAAGGACACUCUCCCUCAUCCCAAGUCUGCUGUUCAGGGGCAGACAGGAAGAAGAAUACUGCCAUGAGGAACAAGAGGAAAAUUAAACUGGUCAAAGGAUGUGUAGAUAUACAGUGUCUUCCAGGGGGCCCGACAGAGGCUUAGACUCACACCCUCCUCUGAAAAGAAAGUUCUUUUGCGUGGGUAGCCAGGGUGAUUCCUCGGCAGCACUCUAUCCAAGGUUCUCAGGAGAGUAUCAUUUACAGCAGCUGGAUAAUUAUUUCAGCAAUCAUGACUUUGUGCUAAUCACAGACUAUUGUAAUUGCUUAAUAGCACAACGAGGAGUGAGCCACAGACUUUCACAACAGCCAUUUUCAGACAGAGAUGCAAAUGCGAAGUCAUAUGCUUUGAAGAGUCAGGGGAAGUUAAGAAAGUGGGGCCUGCGUUCACUGCUACGUUUCUUCAUGCGAGUGACCAUCAGCAAAUUCCCCGUGUUUCCUUGGUAUUAAGAAAUCACUGGAGGCUUAACAUCAUCGAAUAUUUUAGAAGAAAUGAUAUGAUUCAUUUCUUGGAGAAACAAGGACUUCUCUUAAUCUUAGUUUCUAAACUGGAGCCUCUGGAAGGCUUGGUGUUUUAUGAGAGCAUCUUCACCCCCAUCCUGCAUUUCUGCUGUUAGUCCCUCUAAUAAAGUUGUACCAGUGUAGGUGCUGACAGGCUGCAGCAUGUGUACCAGACACACCAGAGCCCUUUCUCUCUUAAAAUCUUACCUCUGGGCUUGAGAAAUCUCAGUGUGACAGACUUGUCUAUAAACCGAAUUCCUAUGGAUGCUUGAAGGAGUCUCACGGGAUGAUACUGGCUCUCCAUCCCACAGUCACAAACUUGAAGAGGAUGCAUGGUGACAUCUUUGCCAGCAGUGGCUCUCAUGCUAUGAGCUCUGAUAAAUCUUUAUGUGCACUCAGUGCUCUCCUUAUUUGACAUGGAAAAGAAGCUGAAGCCAUGGUAGGAAAAUGAGGUAGUCAUCCCUUUGCCAGAACAAUCUUCUAUGUUUAGCCACUUACACUUAACCCUCAGAAAAAGAAAGUGAAUAACAUAUGUUUUAACUCCUUCCUGGAAUGUCUUAUUCAGUUAAAAUGGCACCAACCAUGCGCAAUGAUUAAAAAAAGUCAUGUAAGAAUUU